AUUGUGUUCACUUUAAUUUGUUCUCUUAAGGCUGAAUCUGGGAGGGUUACAGAGUUCAUCUCCUGUAACCGAAUGGAGACAUCAUUCGUCGUGCCACAUUAUUUUGUGCAAACCAUUACAACGGUAACCUGCACUUUGCGGUAUGUGGCUGAAGAUGGACAGAUGUUCACCUCCACUUGGGACUAUGAUCACAACGACUGUGAGGAGAGUGAGGAGCGCCUUAACCCAGAGGAGUUGGAGGUGCCCUUUAUUUG